AGCGAACGCUGGCGGCAGGCCUAACACAUGCAAGUCGAGCGCCCGUAGCAAUACGGGAGCGGCAGACGGGAGAGUAACACGUGGGAACGUACCCUUCAGUUCGGAAUAACCCAGGGAAACUUGGACUAAUACCGAAUACGUCCGUAAGGAGAAAGAUUUAUCGCUGAAGGAUCGGCCCGCGUCUGAUUAGCUUGUUGGUGAGGUAACGGCUCACCAAGGCGACGAUCAGUAGCUGGUCNGAGAGGAUGAUCAGCCUCACUGGAACUGAGACACGGCCCAGACUCCUACGGGAGGCAGCAGUGGGGAAUAUUGGACAAUGGGCGCAAGCCUGAUCCAGCCAUGCCGCGUGGAUGAUGAAGGCCCUAGGGUUGUAAAGUCCUUUCGGCGGGGAAGAUAAUGACGGUACCCGCAGAAGAAGCCCCGGCUAACUUCGUGCCAGCAGCCGCCGUAAU
rnacentral:rRNA from 1 species